UACGUAGGAUGCGAGCGUUAUCCGGAAUUACUGGGUGUAAAGGGAGCGCAGGCGGGACUGCAAGUUGGAUGUGAAGUGCCGCAGCUUAACUGCGGAGCUGCAUCCAAAACUGUAGUUCUUGAGUGGAGUAGAGGCAAGCGGAAUUCCUAGUGUAGCGGUGAAAUGCGUAGAUAUUAGGAGGAACACCAGUGGCGAAGGCGGCCUGCUGGACGAUGACUGACGUUGAGGCUCGAAAGCGUGGGGAGCAAACAGG
rnacentral:rRNA from 1 species